rnacentral:lncRNA from 1 species
CUAUUCAGAGAGCCAGAAUGGCUAAUUCAUCUCCGGCAGUUGGAUGGACAGAUGAAGACUGGAAUAAUAACCUACAAUGCAGACAGGUCUACACCAGCACAGUAUGAUUGCAGCAGCCCAAGCUCUGACUUGGAUGAGCCCAGUCCUCCAGAACCUUACAGCAUGCCAAGAGAGUUGGAUGGAAAUACACCAGAUAACCUUUAAUGAGCUCACUAUUGCCUGGUCCUCCAUCUCAGGGUGUUCAGCUUAUGCCUCCAGCCCCUACAUCCAUUCUACAAGACAAUAUGGUGCAACCUCAGCUGUUGGCACCCAGUGAAGUACCACAGUUUUACCCUGUACCACCUGCUGGUCCACAAGGUCAGAUGCCCUUCCCUGGCUAUCCCCAACAAGACACCGGAUAUGCCCCUCCACCAUUUCAGCCUCAGUCCGAGCAAGUCGAUGCAGGCCCCAUUCAACCACCAGGGGGCCCCCGCAGGUCAGCCAAGUGCCUCAUCACAUCAACCCUCAGAUGCCACCACCAUCAGUGCUGA